rnacentral:rRNA from 1 species
AUUGAACGCUGGCGGCAGGCCUAACACAUGCAAGUCGAGCGGAUGAAGGGAGCUUGCUCCUGGAUUCAGCGGCGGACGGGUGAGUAAUGCCUAGGAAUCUGCCUGGUAGUGGGGGAUAACGUCCGGAAACGGGCGCUAAUACCGCAUACGUCCUGCGGGAGAAAGUGGGUGAUCUUCGGAACUCACGCUAUCAGGUGAGCCUAGGUCGGAUUAGCUAGUUGGUGGGGUAAAGGCCUACCAAGGCGACGAUCGGUAACUGGUCUGAGAGGAUGAUCAGUCACACUGGAACUGAGACACGGUCCAGACUCCUACGGGAGGCAGCAGUGGGGAAUAUUGGACAAUGGGCGAAAGCCUGAUCCAGCCAUGCCGCGUGUGUGAAGAAGGUCUUCGGAUUGUAAAGCACUUUAAGUUGGGAGGAAGGGCAGUAAGUUAAUACCUUGCUGUUUUGACGUUACCAACAGAAUAAGCACCGGCUAACUUCGUG